AAUACGAAAGAGCAAACCUGUUGAAAGGCAGGGACGCAAAGCCACAGGCCUAAAGGACUAUCCCAAGGCGGCUGGGUUCCCGAA
rnacentral:ncRNA from 1 species